GACAGAGGCCCCGAGCGUUAGGCGGAAUCACUGGGCUUAAAGCGUGUGUAGGCGGGCCCGUAAGUGUCUUGUGAAAUCCCACGGCUCAACCGUGGAACUGCUGGGCAUACUGCGGGUCUUGGGCCAACUAGGGGCAGCCGGAACAAGCGGUGGAGCGGUGAAAUGCGUAGAUAUCGCUUGGAACGCCGAAGGUGAAAACAGGCUGCUGGGGUUGCGCCGACGCUGAGACACGAAAGCCAGGGGAGCAAACGGG
rnacentral:rRNA from 2 species